AGUUCAGGGAGGUAGUGACAAUAAAUACCUUACAGAGGUCUCGUUAACCGAGAUCUCUCAAACGGAAUGAGUACAACGUGAAUCCUUUAACGAGGAUCGACUGGAGGGCAAGCCUGGUGCCAGCAGCCGCGGUAAUUCCAGCUCCAGUAGCGUAUAUUAAAGCUGUUGCGGUUAAAAAGCUCGUAGUUGGAUAUCAGUGCGUGUCCGGUCCGGUAUGCCCGGCGGCGUCGCUCGCGCGUCGCUGCUGGGCUCCCAAAUAUCGGCUGGCCGCAUUCAAUGGUGCCGGAUCCGUCGGCGGGCCGUUCUUCGGAGGGGCCUGCUGGCGACCGGCGACGUUACCUUGAACAAAUUAGAGUGCUCAAAGCAGGCUCUGAAUGCCUGUAUACAUAUUCAUGGAAUUGGAGAAUACGUCCCUGGCUCGAUUUGGUUGGUUUUGAGAGUCGAAGGGAAAUGAUUAAUAGGGACUGACGGAGGCAUUCGUAUUGCGACGCGAGGGGUGAAAUCCUGUGACCGUCGCACGACGAACUACUGCGAAAGCAUUUGCCGAGAAUGUUUUCAUUAGUUCAGAACGAAAGUUAAAGU
rnacentral:rRNA from 1 species